GAUGAACGCUGGCGGCGCGCCUAACACAUGCAAGUCGAACGGUUAAAGCACCUUUUAGGUGUGUAUAAAGUGGCGAACGGCUGAGUAACACGUGGGCAACCUGCCCUCCUCUUGGGGAUAGCCUCGGGAAACCGAGGAUAAUACCCGAUACUUCAAUGUGGCCGCAUGGCGACAUUGAGAAAGCUUUUGCGGAGAAGGAUGGGCCCGCGGCCUGUUAGCUUGUUGGUGGGGUAGAGGCCUACCAAGGCAAUGAUGGGUAGCUGGGUUGAGAGACCGACCAGCCAGAUUGGGACUGAGACACGGCCCAGACUCCUACGGGAGGCAGCAGUGGGGAAUCUUGCACAAUGGGCGAAAGCCUGAUGCAGCGACGCCGCGUGCGGGACGAAGGCCUUCGGGUUGUAAACCGCUUUCAGCAGGGAACGAGGCGAUAAAGUGAACGGUACCUGCA
rnacentral:rRNA from 2 species